UAUGUGGUUUAAUUCGAAGCAACGCGAAGAACCUUACCAGGUCUUGACAUCCCGAUGCUAUUUCUAGAGAUAGAAAGUUACUUCGGUACAUCGGUGACAGGUGGUGCAUGGUUGUCGUCAGCUCGUGUCGUGAGAUGUUGGGUUAAGUCCCGCAACGAGCGCAACCCCUAUUGUUAGUUGCCAUCAUUCAGUUGGGCACUCUAGCGAGACUGCCGGUAAUAAACCGGAGGAAGGUGGGGAUGACGUCAAAUCAUCAUGCCCCUUAUGACCUGGGCUACACACGUGCUACAAUGGUUGGUACAACGAGUUGCGAGUCGGUGACGGCGAGCUAAUCUCUUAAAGCCAAUCUCAGUUCGGAUUGUAGGCUGCAACUCGCCUACAUGAAGUCGGAAUCGCUAGUAAUCGCGGAUCAGCACGCCGCGGUGAAUACGUUCCCGGGCCUU
rnacentral:rRNA from 1 species